UUCAUGGUGUUGGGAGUAAGACUUGGAUAUCUGAUACUGUUAACAUAUUGGUUAGCAUCACACGUUUCCAUAGGGGUAGUAAUCCGAGCUGUUUUAAGUUGAAAGUAUUACUGUUGCUGGCUUGUAUGGUAAAAUCUUCAGACAAUAAUGCUGCGAACCAUCGGAUGAACUGUUGCUAUAUUUUUAGUAGAAUCCAUAGACAGUUGUAUUGUAAGCAGAAGAAUGAAUUGCUGACAAAUUUUGUUUUUAUUGCUGUGUAUUA